GAGUCUUUCUCUCCUUAUCCCCCGAGCAUUUCGGUCCCUCGUGAUUCGACUUCUCUUUCUGUAGCUUAGUAUAGUAAGGUGAGCGCUGAAGCGCUGCACGAAUCUUUCUUAGAAAGAUUCAGCGACGAAGUUCUGCCCCUGCAGAGCCCGACUCCUAGCUAAAACCCCCUUGUAAGUUUCGUCGAAGGAAAAUAGAAUCGUUAGAAGCAAGCGCUGCUCGAUUUUGGAAUCAUCACCUUAACAAGUGGAGAUGGAUAUGGCAAAUUGUGGUUGUGGUGGAUGGUGGUCAAACAAUGGUUGCGGAGGACGACGGUCGAAUGGUGGUGGUGGCAGAAGAUAUUCUUUAGCGUUCUUGAGGAAGAAUAAGAAGAUGGGUGAGAGAGAGAGAGAGAAAGAAAGAGAGAGAGAGGGAUAGUAUUUUCUUUUUUCUUUUAUUUUUAAUUCUAUUUAAUUGUUGUAAUAAAAGAAAAUUAAAAUAUUAAAUAAUCAGGGGCAAAAUCGUCUUUAUAAAAAAAUUCAAACAAAAUCGGACCAAAUUCGCAACAAAAUGAAAAGUUUGGACCUCUGGUGCUAGUCCAAACAUUUUUGGACCAAAGUGACAAU